rnacentral:lncRNA from 1 species
GUGGUAGGAUCAAGACACUGUUUUCUGUUCCAGCUCAUUUUGCGAACAAUGUUAUGUCACAGGUCACUUGGCUGUCCUUGGCUCAACUGUGAGUAAGGAGGAGUCCUGUGGAAUGAAAAAUGACUACCCAGAUUUGCCACCAAAAUCCAGCAGGAGUGCCUUAGAAAGCAGAGACGAGAGGACACAGACACACAGAGACGGCAUGUGAAGACAGGCAAGAUUGUGUGAUGCUGCCACGAGCCCAGGGAUGCUGGGACCAGAAGCUGGAAGAGACAAGGAAGGAUUCUCCGUCUCAGGGUUAUUGUGGUGACCACAGAAUGCAUUUGGAAGUGGCUUUGUAAACUGCAGAGUGAUAAGCCAAUUCAAUAUUUGGAGUUGUGUUUUAUCUUCCAAAGACCUCAGUAAACAUUUGUAGAACUG